GCGCCGCCUUCGAUUCUCGCCUGCAAGUGUCGGGCCUUCCCCGUCAUCAGGUUUGCGAACGGCCCCGCCCGCUGGUUUGUCUUGGCCACCUCGGUUGGGAACCUUCCCGCAAAUCAGGCCUGAGUCAGGACCGGAAGCCUGUGAAGUGCUGAUCGGUUCCCGACAGUGAGAGCACGAAGUCACGGUACCCAUUUGGUGGGAGGGAAGUGGAGCACCGCCCAAGAAGCCUCCGGUUGGCAUCUGGGGCUGGGCACCAGGAGCUGGAAAUGACCCGGCCUUACUCCGAGGCGAGUGGUGAUCCCAUAGAUCUGAACACCUCAUAGCUCUGUGCGUGUUCCAGCUGGGUCGUGUUCACUCCAGGUCCUGAUCUCCUCUCUGAUCCUCUCAUACCAACUAUAGGCGUGCUGUUUAAAAGUGUUCUUAUGGAUGUGUCAACCAGGAAAACUCUGGUUCAACGGAGUUCAGCAGUUCUCUAAUUAAAUAGGUUUUGGGGUCUUUAAUUUGCUAAUAUAAAAAAAAAUGCUAAUAUACAUUUUUUGGUCUUUUUUAAAUUGAAGUGUAGUUGACUUACAAUGUUGUGUUAAUUUCUGCUACAUAGCAAAGUGAUUCAGUUAUACAUAAUAUAAUCUUUCUCAUAUUCUUUUCCAUUAUGAUUUACUACAAGGAUAUUGAAUAUAGUUCCCUGUGCUGUACAGCAAAUUCUUGUUGUCUAGUUUAUACAUAAUAAGCUUGUAUCUGCUAAUUCUAUAGUCCUAAUUUAUCCCUCUACUACCCCCUUUCCACUUUGGUAACCAUAAGUUUGGAGGUGUUUGUUUAUAUUUCUUUGUUUUGGGCAUGCCCUCGGCAUGCCUGGGUUCCUGAUCCAGGAUCAAACCUAUGCCACAGAAGUGAUGAGAGCCACAGCAGUGACAAUGCCAAAUCCUUAACCUGCUGAGCCACCAGGGAACUCUCCCAAAGUUUGCUUUCUCUGGAAGUUUUUUUCUGUGUUUCAUAAAUAGUUCAUUUGUGUCAUAUUUGAGAUUCCACAUAUAAAUGACAUCAUAUAGUUUUGCCUUUUUCUGACUUACUUCACUUAAUACUCUCUAGGUCCAUCCAUGUUGUUGCAAAUGGCAUUAUUUCAUUUUUUUAUUUGGCUGAGUAGUAGUCUAGGGUGUAUCUAUACCACAUCUUCUUUGUUAAUUCCUUUCCCAGUGGGUAUUUAGGUUGCUUCAAUCUUGGCUAUUGUAAAUAGUCCUGCUGUGAAAAUUGGGAUGCUUGUAUCUUUGCAAAUUAGAGCUUUCAUCUUUUCCAAGUAUAUGCCCAGGAGUGGGACUGCUGAAUUAUAUGAUAGCUCUAUUUUUAGUUUUUUAAGAAAGUUAAAAAACUAAACAGCAAAAGCUUUUGGUUGUUAAUGAGUUGUAUGAGGUGUUUGUGUAUUUUGGAAAUUAAGCCUUUGUUGGUUGAGUGUUUGCAAAUAUUUUUUUCUUUCUUUCUUUUUUUUUUUUUUUUUGGUCUUUUUAGGGCUGCACCUGAGGCAUAUGGAAGUUCCCAGGCUAGGAGCUGAAUUGGAGCUGUAGCUACUGGCCUACACCACAGCCACAGCAACGCCAGAUCCAAGCCGAAUCUGUGAACUACACCACAGCUCACGGCAACACCAGAUCCUUAACCCACUGAGCAAGGCCAAGGAUCGAACCUGUGUCCUCAUGGUUACUAGUCAGGUUCAUUUCUGCUGAGCCGCAAUGGGAACUCCUGCAAAUAUUUUCUUCCAGUUCAUAUGUUGUUGUUUUGUUUAUGGUUUCCUUUGCUUUGUAAAAGUUACAGCUACAGCUCUUAUAAAUUUGAUUAGAUCCCAUUUGUUUAUUUUGCUUUUAUUUGUAUUGCCUUGGUGUACUGACCUAAGAGAAUGCUGCUGUUUAUGUCAGAGAAUGUUUUGCCUAUGUUCUCUUCUAGUUUUAUGGUAUCAUGUCUUAUAUUUAAAUCUUUAAGUCAUUUUGAGUUUAUUUUUGUGUGGGGUGUAAGGGUGUGUUCUAACUUCAUUGAUUUACUUGUGGCUAUUGAGCUUUCCCAACAGCACUUGCUGAAGAGACUUUUUCUACAUUGUAUAUUCUUGCAUCCUUUGUCAAAGAUUAAUUGACUGUAGGUGUAUGGGUUUACUUUUGGGCUCUCUAUUCUGUUCAUUUGAUUCAUAUGUUUUUUGCCAGUACUGCACUGUUUUGAUUACUAUAACUUUGUAGUAUUUUCUGAAGUCUGGGAGGGUUAUUACUCUAGGUUUAUUCUUUCCUCAGGAUUGCUUUGGCAAUUUCUGGGUAUUUUGUGGUUCCAUAUAAGUUUUAGGAUUAUUUGCUCUAGUUCUGUGGAAAAUGCCAUGGGUAAUUUGAUAGGGAUCAUGUUAAAUCUGUAAAUUUCUGGAGUUCCCAUUGUAGCACAGUGGAAAUGAAUCCAGCUAGUAUCUAUAAAGAUGCGGGUUCAAUCGCUGGCCUUGCUCAGUGGGUUAAAUGAUCCAGCGUUGCCAUGAGUGUUGUCUGUGAUGUAAGACACAGAUGCAGCUCAGAUCCCUAGUUGUUGUGGCCGUGGUGUAGGCCAGCAGCUGUAGCUUCAUUUCAACCCCUAGUCUGGGAAUUUUCAUAUGCCACAAGUGCUGCCCUAAAAAGAAAAAAAAAAAAAUCUGUAGAUUGCUUUGGGUGGUAUUGUCAGAUAAUAUAUAUACACUUUCUAAUCAUAAUGACUAGCAUUUGUUUUACCUUAACUUUGUAUUACAGUAAUUUACAAUGUCAUUUAAUCAUUUUAAUCUUAUUAAUCAGCAAAAUGUUACAGAUGAAGAAAUAAAAUUGUAAAGAGACAUGACUGAGUUUCCAUUCUAAUGAUGGAGUUAGACCCAAACUAGGUCAUUUAUACUGAUUGUCCACAAAUCCCUUUUUAAAUCAGAGCAUCACUUGAGACCAGGCCUACAAAGAGUACACUUGUCUUGGAGUCCUUGGAGGGGGCAGCUAUGAGGUCAAAGUCAAAGGAGGAAAUGAGAGCUCUAGCACUAACUUGGGAAAGGUGGAUUGCCUGGCUUCUGACAACAAGGUGAAGUGUUGGGGAAACUGCAGGAGAUUAAGGUAAGGAUGCCAGCAGUACCUCCUGCUACCCCUAAACACACCUGCCCCUCCCUACAGCCCUUGCAGAACACUCCCAAAUAUUCUAAUGACACCCUGAAGGUGGAGCCAGUGCUGGAAGGGAAUCUGAGCCUCCUGCUCCUGAAGAAUGAAUUAAAAAACAAAACAAGUAAACCCCCAAACCCUAGGACUAGGAGGUGAGAACUUGACUCAAUAUCUGGUCUAAUCCAGUCACACUGGAAUUGUUGGGGUGGAGAGAGAAGUAGAUUCUGAAUAGAUUUAACUCCCAUCUGCGGCAUGUGGAAGUUCCUGGACCAGGGAUCCAUCCUGUGCCACGGCAGCAACUUGGGCUGCUGAAGUGACAAUGCCGGCUCCCUAACCCACUGCACUGCAGGAGAUUUAAGAGGAGAGAAUAUAGACUCCUCGAUGGGAGGAGUGUCAGCAUCACAUUAAAGAAGAGCAUGUGGUAUAGAAUAUCUUGCAACCCUCUUGAAAAAUGAAAUGGAAUGGUGAAAGACUAAGUACUUUCCUACAGGGACUGAGAUAACCCCAAAGCACCAUGUUUUGAUAACUAUUUGUGUAUAACCACUUCAAAACAUAGUGGCCUAAAAUAACAAUUUAGGAGUUUCUGCUGUGUCGCAGUGGGUAAAUGAUCUGGCUUGUCUCUGUGGAGGUGUGAGUUGGAUCUCUUGCCUGGCGCAGUGGGUUGGGGAUCCAGUGUUGCUGCAGCUCUGGUAUAGGUCACAGCUCUGACCCCUGGCUCAGGAAUUUAACAUAUGCCACAGGGGCAGUGGGGAAAAAAAAGGAAAGAAAGAAAUAAUAAUUACAAAAAAAUAAAACAGACUUCCUGUUGUGGCUCAGCAGUAAAAAACCUAACCAGUAUCAAUGGGAUGCAGGUUCAAUCCCUAGCUCAAUGGAUUAAAGAUCCGGUAUUGACAUGAGCUGCCAUAUAGGUCAAAGACACGGCUUGGCUCAGAUCUGGCGUUGCUGUGGCUGUGGCAUAGGCUGGUAGCUACAGCUCCAAUUAGACUCCUAGACUGGGAACUUCCAUGUGCCUCAGGUGUGGCCAUUAAAAAAAAAAAGAUAUACACUGGAAUUCUGGUGCAGUGGGUUAAGGAUCUAACAUCAUCACUGCAGUGGCUCGAGUUGGUGCUGUGGGUCGGGUUUGAUCCCUGGCCUAAGAACUUCCAUAUUUGGCAGGCAUGGCAAAAAAACAAAAAAGAAAGAUGCAUACACCUAAUGUUUGUAGCAGUGCUAAUUGCAAUAGCCAAGACAUGGAGGCAACCUAAAGGUCCAUCAACAGGUGAAUGGAUAAAGAGGAUGUGCUUUGGGGAGUUCCCAUUAUGGCUCAGUGGUAACGUACCCAACUAGUAUCCAUGAGGAUACAGGUUGGAUCCCUGGCCUUGAUCAGUGGGUUAAGGAUCUGGCAUUGCCAUGAGGUGUUGUAGGUCGCAGACAAGGCUUGGUUCCUGAGUUGCUAUGGCUGUGGUGUAGGCAGGCAGCUGCAACUCCAAUUUGACCCCUAACCUGGGAACUUCGGUAUGCCCGGUGUGGCCAUAAAAAGACCAAAAAAAAAAAAAGGAUGUGGUUUAUAUAUACAAUGUAUAUACAAUGGAAUAUUACUCAGCCAUAAAAAGAAUGACAUGAUGCCAUUUAUAGCAAUAUGCAUAGACCUAGAGAUUAUCCAGACAAAGAUAAACAUCAUAUGACAUCGCUUAUAAGUGGAAUCUUAAAAAAAAAAAAAAGUGUUCCUAUUGUGGCACAGUGGAAACCAAUCUGACUAGUAACCAUUAAGACAUGGGUUCAAUCCCUGACCUCACUCAGUGGGUUAAGGAUCCAGCAUUACUGUGAGCUGUGGUGUAGGUCAAAGAUCUGGCUUGGAUCUCGAGUUGCUCUGGCUGUGGCUAGGGCUGGCAGCUGCAGCUUCGAUUCAACCCCUAGCCUGGGAACUUUCAUAUGUUAUAGUACGGCCCUAAAAAACAAACAAAUAAAAAAUUUAAAUAAAUAAAUAAUAUAAAAUUUUUAAAAAGAGAUACAUGGAGUUCCCGUUGUGGCUCAGUGGUUAAGGAAUCUGACUAGGAACCAUGAGGUUGCAGGUUCGAUCCCUGGCCUCGAUCUGUGGGUUAAGGAUCCAGUGUUGCUGUGAGCUGUGGUGUAGGUCGAAGAUUCGGCUUAGAUCCCACGUUGCUGUGACUCUGGCGUAGGCCGGUGGCUAUAGCUUCGAUUAGACCCACAGACUGGGAACCUCCAUAUGCCGCGGGAGCAGCCCAAGAAAUGGCAAAAAGAC
rnacentral:lncRNA from 1 species